GGCUUUCAAUAUUUUUUUCUUGGCUCCUUCUACAACAAUUGUAUGUGUAGUAUGAUUGUUAGUUUUUUCAUAUUUUUUUUAAAAAUCUUUAUUACUUAUUAAUUUACAAAUCUUUCAAAAUCAGAAUAGAUGAUUUAUGUCCAUGUAUGAGGAUUACGAGAGGGUCUAUGGCAAAACAUAAACAAGUUUAAGUUGAACAAUCUAUUGAAGAAUUGAGAUCC